rnacentral:rRNA from 1 species
CCUACGGGAGGCAGCAGUGAGGAAUAUUGGUCAAUGGACGAGAGUCUGAACCAGCCAAGUAGCGUGAAGGAUGACUGCCCUAUGGGUUGUAAACUUCUUUUAUAUGGGAAUAAAAUGUUCCACGUGUGGGCUUUUGUAUGUACCAUAUGAAUAAGGAUCGGCUAACUCCGUGCCAGCAGCCGCGGUAAUACGGAGGAUGCGAGCGUUAUCCGGAUUUAUUGGGUUUAAAGGGGGCGUAGGUGGAUUGUUAAGUCAGUUGUGAAAGUUUGCGGCUCAACCGUAAAACUGCCGUUGAAACUGGCAGUCUUGAGUACAGUAGAGGUGGGCGGAAUGCGUGGUGUAGCGGUUAAAUGCUUAGAUAUCACGAAGAACUCCGAUUGCGAAGGCAGCUCACUGGACUGCAACUGACACUGAGGCUCGAAAGUGUGGGUAUCAAACAGGAUUAGAUACCCCAGUAGUC